UACGGAGGAUCCAAGCGUUAUCCGGAAUCAUUGGGUUUAAAGGGUCCGUAGGCGGUUUGGUAAGUCAGUGGUGAAAGCCCAUCGCUCAACGGUGGAACGGCCAUUGAUACUGCCAGACUUGAAUUAUUAGGAAGUAACUAGAAUAUGUAGUGUAGCGGUGAAAUGCUUAGAGAUUACAUGGAAUACCAAUUGCGAAGGCAGGUUUACUACUAAUGGAUUGACGCUGAUGGACGAAAGCGUGGGUAGCGAACAGG
rnacentral:rRNA from 1 species